rnacentral:rRNA from 1 species
CCAAUAGCGUAUAUUAAAGUUGUUGCAGUUAAAAAGCUCGUGGUUGAAUUUUAGGCCUGGCCAGGCGGUCCGUCUUUGGCGAGUACUGUCUUGUUGUCGGGUCUUCCUUCUGGUGAACCAGUAUGUCCUUUAUUGGGUGUGUUGGGGAGCCAGGACCAUUACCUUGAAAAAAUUAGAGUGUUUAAAGCGGGCUAUUUCUUGAAUAGAUUAGCAUGGAAUAAUAGAAUUGGACGUUGUGGUUCUAUUUUGUUGGUUUCUAGGACCACCGUAAUGAUUAAUAGGGAUAGUUGGGGGCAUUAGUAUUCAAUUGUCAGAGGUGAAAUUCUUGGAUUUAUUGAAGACUAACUAUUGCGAAAGCAUUUGCCAAGGAUGUUUUCAUUAAUCAAGAACGAAAGUUAGGGGAUCGAAGACGAUCAGAUACCGUCGUAGUCUUAACCAUAAACUAUGCCGACUAGGAAUCGGGCGACGUUAUUUUAAUGACUCGCUCGGCGCCUUAUG